GGUGCUUGCAUCAUGAUUUACAUUUGAGUGAGUGGCGAACUGGUGAGUAACACGUGGGAAACCUGCCCAGAAGCGGGGGAUAACACCUGGAAACAGAUGCUAAUACCGCAUAACAACUUGGACCGCAUGGUCCGAGUUUGAAAGAUGGCUUCGGCUAUCACUUUUGGAUGGUCCCGCGGCGUAUUAGCUAGAUGGUGAGGUAACGGCUCACCAUGGCAAUGAUACGUAGCCGACCUGAGAGGGUAAUCGGCCACAUUGGGACUGAGACACGGCCCAAACUCCUACGGGAGGCAGCAGUAGGGAAUCUUCCACAAUGGACGAAAGUCUGAUGGAGCAACGCCGCGUGAGUGAAGAAGGGUUUCGGCUCGUAAAACUCUGUUGUUAAAGAAGAACAUAUCUGAGAGUAACUGUUCAGGUAUUGACGGUAUUUAACCAGAAAGCCACGGCUAACUACGUGCCAGCAGCCGCGGUAAUACGUAGGUGGCAAGCGUUGUCCGGAUUUAUUGGGCGUAAAGCGAGCGCAGGCGGUUUUUUAAGUCUGAUGUGAAAGCCUUCGGCUCAACCGAAGAAGUGCAUCGGAAACUGGGAAACUUGAGUGCAGAAGAGGACAGUGGAACUCCAUGUGUAGCGGUGAAAUGCGUAGAUAUAUGGAAGAACACCAGUGGCGAAGGCGGCUGUCUGGUCUGUAACUGACGCUGAGGCUCGAAAGUAUGGGUAGCAAACAGGAUUAGAUACCCUGGUAGUCCAUACCGUAAACGAUGAAUGCUAAGUGUUUGGAGGGUUUCCGCCCUUCAGUGCUGCAGCUAACGCAUUAAGCAUUCCGCCUGGGGAGUACGGCCGCAAGGCUGAAACUCAAAGGAAUUGACGGGGGCCCGCACAAGCGGUGGAGCAUGUGGUUUAAUUCGAAGCUACGCGAAGAACCUUACCAGGUCUUGACAUACUAUGCAAAUCUAAAAGAUUAGACGUUCCCUUCGGGGACAUGGAUACAGGUGGGUGCA
rnacentral:rRNA from 1 species